GUGGGGAAUCUUAGACAAUGGGGGCAACCCUGAUCUAGCCAUGCCGCGUGAGUGAUGAAGGCCUUAGGGUCGUAAAGCUCUUUCGCUGGGGAAGAUAAUGACGGUACCCAGUAAAGAAACCCCGGCUAACUCCGUGCCAGCAGCCGCGGUAAUACGGAGGGGGUUAGCGUUGUUCGGAAUUACUGGGCGUAAAGCGCGCGUAGGCGGAUUGGAAAGUUGGGGGUGAAAUCCCGGGGCUCAACCCUGGAAUGGCCUUCAAAACUCCCAGUCUUGAGGUCGAGAGAGGUGAGUGGAAUUCCGAGUGUAGAGGUGAAAUUCGUAGAUAUUCGGAGGAACACCAGUGGCGAAGGCGGCUCACUGGCUCGAUACUGACGCUGAGGUGCGAAAGCGUGGGGAGCAAACAGGAUUAGAAACCCGGGUAGUCC
rnacentral:rRNA from 1 species